AGCUCUGCACAGCCGUGCCAUCAUAGCCAGUGAGCUUUAUUUGAGGCUCAUUUAUUGCCAAUUGAAAACUUCUCCCAAUAACCUGCAGUGAUGACUUUCAAUAUAGUUGGCAUUGGCAAUUUUUGAGUCUCUAUGAAGA